UUUGAAAUCUCCUCUAACCACUAUACGUAUUUUGCCUUUAAUUUACCCGGAAAAAUCAAGAUUUGCGAAAACACGGCUCGAAGAGAAAAAUCCUAGAUUCCGCCGCGAAGAAGGAGACAUUUCAAAGCAGUGCAGCUCGAUUGCUAGCGAGUCUCCGAUCCAAUUCUGCGAAUUAGUUCGUCGGCGAUUUAGCCUAUUUCUAGGGUUUUUAAGGUUGGGUGAAACGCCAAACCGUUGGAGCUGGAUCUUCGGUUAACGUCGCCGCCGUCAUUGAUUACCUUAUUUCUUAGAUGGUGCCUGAUAUUGUAGAGGGUGAUGGGUUUGUUGGGAGGCAGCCUCAUAUCAAGUAUGAGCUCAGAGAUAGUCCUGGUCUUGUGAAUGUAGGAGGAUACAACCAAUGUGUAUUCUUCAACUGCAGUUAUAGUAGUUCGGAUACUCCACUGAGUGAGGGUCAGUGCCAUUGGUUUUCUCCCAAGGGUUCUACUUUGCUUAAAGCGGGCUCUAAAAAUCGCAAAUGCCGCUCAACAGAUGGCUAAUGCUACUCGGGGUAGUGGUGGUUUAGUUAUGCUGUUCAUUGAAAUCAUCAAUAAGUAUCUCUAUUUUUUUGAGAAGGGAAACAACCAAAUCACCGUCAAUACAAUCCAGGAUCUAAUGGAAUUAAUUACUACAGAGAUGCAAAGUGAUAAUGCGGCAACAGAUUCUGCUGCUGAAGCUUUCUUUGCAAGCACAUUGCGGUACAUCCAAUUCCAGAAACAAAAAGGUGGCGCAGUUAGUGAGAAAUAUGAACCUAAUGAGAACUGAAAAGUUAAAACUUGAGAAAGGGAAACAAACUCGGUAACAAUUGCUCUUCAAUCCGCUAAACUUGUGAGAAUUGUCGCCUUUGAUCUUGCUCUUGGGACUCUUGAAUGGUUCCCUCAUUUGUCUUUGAAUACGCUGACGCUGACGCUGCGUGCUACGUGUGUCAUGGGAAGUUGCUUAUCCAAGCAUGAUCUCAACUCUCAAAUUGAUUUGGUAAUUGAAAUUUUGAAGCGUCCAGGAGAAGUCCUCCCUGUUUGUCUUAGUGUCGCACGAACGCUGUAAAUUCAUAAUUUAGUGUGCUUCAAUUUUAA